AACGAACGCUGGCGGCAUGCCUAACACAUGCAAGUCGAACGAGACCUUCGGGUCUAGUGGCGCACGGGUGCGUAACGCGUGGGAACCUGCCCUUAGGUUCGGAAUAACUCCCCGAAAGGGGUGCUAAUACCGGAUAAUGUCUUCGGACCAAAGAUUUAUCGCCUUUGGAUGGCCCCGCGUUGGAUUAGCUAGUUGGUAGGGUAAAAGCCUACCAAGGCGACGAUCCAUAGCUGGUCUGAGAGGAUGAUCAGCCACACUGGGACUGAGACACGGCCCAGACUCCUACGGGAGGCAGCAGUGGGGAAUAUUGGACAAUGGGCGAAAGCCUGAUCCAGCAAUGCCGCGUGAGUGAUGAAGGCCUUAGGGUUGUAAAGUUCUUUUACCCGGGAUGAUAAUGACAGUACCGGGAGAAUAAGCUCCGGCUAACUCCGUG
rnacentral:rRNA from 1 species